rnacentral:lncRNA from 1 species
GUGUGAGCACCAGGAGGUGGGGUCACGGGGGCGAGGGGUCACCUCGGGUUUUUCUGCCACACGCCUGGAGGCCCUUCCCAUCUCUCGCAUCCCUCUGACCUUAACCAGCUGAAUCCACAUUCUCUAAGGAUGUUCAGUGGGAUGACCAAGCCUCCCAGGUUGGCCCAGGGCUGUUCUAGUUUCGCACUGAAAUUCCUGCAUCCUGGGCAACCCCCAGUCUCAGGCAAACUAGGACAGCUGGUCAUUCUAAGCAGAUCCCAGGUCUUCCUGGAUUUCUCCUUUUUUUCUAGUAAUAGGGGUGAAAGAGAAACCAAAAUGGUGUCACCCAGAGGUAGUCCCACUCUUCUCCAAGCAGCCCUGGAGGCCCACUGAGUUGAUUAGGUGGGCUUUCCAGCCCCUUCACACUGUUCUCCACUGAGCGCAGCAGCUCCUGACUCACUCGUACAUGUUGGCCUGUGUGUAAUUUGCUAUGUGCCUAUUUCUCCACAGUGUUGAUGCCUUAACACUCUCAUCUCACGUAGGAACAAUCCAGGAUCCAGCCCCUUGACCUGGAAGCCAGACUUCUUCUGACGUCUACAAGACCAUGCAGAGGGGGCAGAGACGAGCGUGGAGAAGACUGAGAAGAAGAUUGUACCAACUACAAACCCUGCCCCCACCCCGAUCCCCGCGAGGGGGACGAAUUCUGAAAGAAGCUGGGAGUCCGCAUCCGUCCAGCCUUCUGGGAGCUCCGAAUCCUUCCACAGCCACUCGCUGCUGUCCCCCAGCCUUUGUAGCUUUGAAAUCCAUCGGACAUUUCAGACUUGCAUCGUGAUUUUCCUGUUGACGCUGGAGAUGUGUGAAGGCUGCAGAGAUGACUGGCCAUACUGGACGUGGGACAGUGCUGCCAACCGAGGACAUGUAAAUGACGUCUGUCCUCGCACCUCUGCCUUUGGGUUCUUGAUGAACUUCCAACGGCUCAGUGCCUCCUUUGCUCACUCGGGCAUCCUCUGCACGUCCAGCACAGGUCCCCGGGGUCUUCAAAGAGGUUUUCAAGCGUGUAGAAAAAAAUACAGCCCGGUGGCUGGGAUGAAGCACGUGACAACCUUGUGAGAUGAGGAAGGAACUGACUUCCCUCGGCCCUGAUGGGGACACAGGAGCCCUGGGAGCUGACAGCAUUUGUCCAAAGCAGCUGAGUGGGGCAGCCGAGGAUCUCAUCCACUCCCCCAAUUCUGCUGCUGCCAGGAAACAGGUAACGUGGAUCCAGGGUCCAUUCAAAGCAGGAUUUGCUCUAUUAGCGGGGUCUGGUCCUUGACGUCCACCUUCCAGGGCAUAGAAAGCUUGUAAAGGAGGAUGCUGAGCUGCUUUUCUGGUUGCCUUCAGGGUGAUAAGGAAGAGGGGAGAAAACACAGAAGACUUCCAGUUGCUAGGGUGAUUUUAAAAGCUGGACUAAGACUAGUAAGAGUCUUCGUGAGUUGAACUCUGCUGUAACGCUUUCUUCCUUAGAAUGACAAAUGUCUUAGGCUCCACCGUGCCGAUUCUCACUGAAUUCCAACUCCAGGCAGGCGAAGGGCAAGCAGGCCCUAUAGCCUUCACUCUGAAUUCCCAGCCUCCCUCCAGCUGAACCAGC